UACGUAGGGUGCGAGCGUUAAUCGGAAUUACUGGGCGUAAAGUGUGCGCAGGCGGCUCUGCAAGUCAGGCGUGAAAUCCCCGGGCUUAACCUGGGAACUGCAUUUGUGACUGCAUGGCUGGAGUGCGGCAGAGGGGGAUGGAAUUCCGCGUGUAGCAGUGAAAUGCGUAGAUAUGCGGAGGAACACCGAUGGCGAAGGCAAUCCCCUGGGCCUGCACUGACGCUCAUGCACGAAAGCGUGGGGAGCAAACAGG
rnacentral:rRNA from 1 species